UACGUAGGGCGCAAGCGUUGUCCGGAAUUAUUGGGCGUAAAGAGCGUGUAGGCGGCCAGACAGGUCCGUUGUGAAAACUAGAGGCUUAACCUCUAGACGUCGAUGGAAACCGUCUGGCUAGAGUCCGGAAGAGGAGAAUGGAAUUCCUGGUGUAGCGGUGAAAUGCGCAGAUAUCAGGAAGAACACCCGUGGCUAAGGCGGUUCUCUAGUACGGUACUGACGCUGAGACGCGAAAGCGUGGGGAGCGAACAGG
rnacentral:rRNA from 1 species